CCGAAGUGUUUUGAAUUUCUCUUGUGCAGAUCUCCGUGGGAACUAACUCUCAGUGGGUCCUCCAUAACUGCUAACUUAUGACCAUAAAGUUGAACAUUAAUGAGUUCUCUGUAGAUCUUCUCCCCCCAAAGCCCUCCCCCAUAAAAAAUUCUUUUUGGUAUGGUAAUUUUGUUGACUUCUCCCGAGAGCCGAUCCUUACCGACAUUCAUCAUCAGAGGGCGCACUUUCACAGAAAAUACACCAGGUUCCUCCGGCUGAUCGCUUCCUCGCCCGUUUGCACGAUGGAAGAAACAGGUUUUAUUCGGAGCGGAGAAACAGUGUGCAUGCUCAUUAAAUAUUUGUUCAUUUAUCAGGAGGAAAAGCAGUCUUGCCCAGCUACCUCGUGGAAGGAAAGGGCGACCUUGACAGUUGCUAGGUGGAGGCCUCGAUGCUGAUUGAAGCAAGGUGCAGAGGAUACAGCGGUACACACCAAGAUUUUGGAGCUGGUCAAGCCACAAGAUGGAAGGAGCCUGAGUACCUGAAGACCAUGUGGAAGGCAACCUUAAACCCAGGAACCUACUCUUUGGACUUACACAUGAACAAGAAAUCAACUUACGAAGCCAUCCAGAUUUUGGG
rnacentral:lncRNA from 1 species